AGAAGCUUGCUUCUCUGAUGUUAGCGGCGGACGGGUGAGUAACACGUGGGUAACCUACCUAUAAGACUGGGAUAACUCCGGGAAACCGGGGCUAAUACCGGAUAAUAUUUUGAACCGCAUGGUUCAAUAGUGAAAGACGGUUUCGGCUGUCACUUAUAGAUGGACCCGCGCCGUAUUAGCUAGUUGGUAAGGUAACGGCUUACCUAGGCGACGAUACGUAGCCGACCUGAGAGGGUGAUCGGCCACACUGGAACUGAGACACGGUCCAGACUCCUACGGGAGGCAGCAGUAGGGAAUCUUCCGCAAUGGGCGAAAGCCUGACGGAGCAACGCCGCGUGAGUGAUGAAGGUCUUCGGAUCGUAAAACUCUGUUGUUAGGGAAGAACAAAUUUGUUAGUAACUGAACAAGUCUUGACGGUACCUAACCAGAAAGCCACGGCUAACUACGUGCCAGCAGCCGCGGUAAUACGUAGGUGGCAAGCGUUAUCCGGAAUUAUUGGGCGUAAAGCGCGCGUAGGCGGUUUCUUAAGUCUGAUGUGAAAGCCCACGGCUCAACCGUGGAGGGUCAUUGGAAACUGGGAAACUUGAGUGCAGAAGAGGAGAGUGGAAUUCCAUGUGUAGCGGUGAAAUGCGCAGAGAUAUGGAGGAACACCAGUGGCGAAGGCGGCUCUCUGGUCUGUAACUGACGCUGAUGUGCGAAAGCGUGGGGAUCAAACAGGAUUAGAUACCCUGGUAGUCCACGCCGUAAACGAUGAGUGCUAAGUGUUAGGGGGUUUCCGCCCCUUAGUGCUGCAGCUAACGCAUUAAGCACUCCGCCUGGGGAGUACGACCGCAAGGUUGAAACUCAAAGGAAUUGACGGGGACCCGCACAAGCGGUGGAGCAUGUGGUUUAAUUCGAAGCAACGCGAAGAACCUUACCAAAUCUUGACAUCCUUUGACCGCUCUAGAGAUAGAGUCUUCCCCUUCGGGGGACAAAGUGACAGGUGGUGCAUGGUUGUCGUCAGCUCGUGUCGUGAGAUGUUGGGUUAAGUCCCGCAACGAGCGCAACCCUUAAGCUUAGUUGCCAUCAUUAAGUUGGGCACUCUAGGUUGACUGCCGGUGACAAACCGGAGGAAGGUGGGGAUGACGUCAAAUCAUCAUGCCCCUUAUGAUUUGGGCUACACACGUGCUACAAUGGAUAAUACAAAGGGCAGCGAAUCCGCGAGGCCAAGCAAAUCCCAUAAAAUUAUUCUCAGUUCGGAUUGUAGUCUGCAACUCGACUACAUGAAGCUGGAAUCGCUAGUAAUCGUAGAUCAGCAUGCUACGGUGAAUACGUUCCCGGGUCUUGUACACACCGCC
rnacentral:rRNA from 2 species